rnacentral:lncRNA from 1 species
UCAUAAGGCAGGCUGAACACAACAUAGCCUUGAUUGAACCUGGACUCAUGGUUGACCCUCAUUUCAUGGAUAGAACCACUCUCUAUGGGAGAAGUGGAGUUUAUAGAUGGAAAGAACCUGAGAAGCCACUUCCUGAAAGGACAUGGUGAUCACUCUGCAGUCAAGGCCAUUUCUACAUGGAGUAGGCAGAGUGGGAUGGGGCAGGACAAUUCAUACAAUUUGCUGUUGAGCUGGAUACCUCAGUCAUUUCCUGAGUCUUAUCACAAAUUAAUCUUAGGAGUAUGUAAAACAUAGACGUCCGUGUUUGAUUUUAGUCCAACCUGUCUAGAAACUGAAACAGUUGUAGAAGAACUUAGAGGCAAAGGUGGUACACAAAGUGGACAUUGUUGACAUUUUGCAGUAACUGAAGACAAAGGACUCCUAUCAGCUUAAAAUCCUAAGCAAGCUUGAUCAAGAAAUGAGAGUGGAGCGAGAUUUGCUACACUCAACAGGCAAGGCAAGCAUGGAGUCAUUAAAGCUUGAGAUUUUAUAGAGCCGCACGGGAUGAGCCUGGCUGCUUCACAUGUAUCUGCCUUGACUUCUGAAACAAGAGACCUUACCUCAGAAUUGUCGAAAACCAACUCCUAGAAGAUGCUUGCCUUCCCACGUAACAGCGCAUUGUUAAUGAGCCACAGUUGCUGUCUGGUUUUGAGCCUCCCGGGACAAGCUCGCGUGCUUCAUGAGCUCAAAGGGGCAUUUAUCAUUUUCCUUUGUUAUGGUCAUCAACCAAAACAGGGUCCCGCAGAACACAGAACGCCAACUACGUUUGUUAAGGAAAUAAAAGGAUGUAGUGACUAAAUGAAUGACUGAGAGUGAUUCAGCAUGCCAUGGCUGUGAAUCUGAGUCUGUCUUCACCUUCCUUUUAGGCAGAGAAUCCAUCUGGUUCCUAAGUCUAGAGGUGACUCUCUCACCCUUGAGAUUUUCAUUAAAUGAAGCAGUCUUUGCCUCCAAUCUUAUGACCAAGAAGUCAGGGUCAAGAGCCUCAACAUGAGGAGCCAAGGAGGGAAGGACACAUUUGGAGACAUCUUCUGUGGUGGGGAGGUCACAGAGGUGUGGCAAGUUGCCCCCACCAUCUGGCAGCAGACUCAGCAAGGAAGAAAUGAAGUAUGAAGUCACAGUCACAGAUGGGACAGUGAGACAGCAAAGCAGGCACUCUUGCUGUGUGGACAAACCUGUGAAGGAUUGCUGUAAGGGUGUCAGCAGAGAGGGCCCGCACAGAGGGUGAUGCCGGCGGUCCUGCAGUCCUGCUUGUUGUCAGUUGAAGGUUUCUGAGUAAAUUGACAGGGCCAGACUAAAGUGAGAUUGGCAAAUGGACUUGGGAUGAAGAAGAAGAGCAGCAGCAGCAGCAGCAGCAGCAGCAGCAGCAGCAGCAGCAGCAGCAGCAGCAGCAGAUGUUAUCCUAAUGGAAAACUGGAGGCUCCUCAGCCCUGGGCCGUCCCUCCUGUGCUGGCGUGUGUGCCUCUCCGCUCAUGGUCUGCCUUGCUGACACCGCUUUGGCACCUGGAGUCAUCUAGUGAGACUCACCACCCUUGAAACGCAGAGCAACACAGGGAAGGAACAUGGAGCAACCUCAGUUAUAGUGAUGACAGAGUAACCGAGAAGAUGCCAGUGAAGUGUUGACUGACUACCCAGCCUUCCAAAGACCAUGCAACUCAACUCUCUUUUUUGUUCAUGGGAAUUCUUUAGCUCUGCCAAUCAGACUCAGCCCUAAGGAAACUGAUUUGGAACAUUAAUUCUGUGAGGAAAGAGCCAGGACACUCAACUGUCCCCUUGGCAUCCCUGCAGGACUGUGGAGGCCGUGAGUUGUUUAUUGAAUAUACCAGCUAACCUUGCCACUGCUGUGACCACACCUCACAAGAAGCAAGUGAACAGGAGAGGGUUAGUAGGAUAUAAAUUUAAGGGCGCUCACAUCCCUUUGGGGGAGUCCAAUCCCUGAAACUGGUCUCUUUCUCAGUCUGCUUCUUCUUCACCCAGCACGGUGUGAACGAGCCAUGCUGCAAGCUCCCUUAGCUAUGGAUCGAGCCACUCCAACUGCCAUGACCUCACCAUACAAUUGUGUCCCCGGCACUUCGGUAAUGUACGUGGUUAUCACUUGGUUAUACUGCCUUGUGACAGAGGCAUCGUUCAUCAUUUAAAAGGCCACAUCAGAAGAAGGUACUAAGAAAACGAGAAGUUCUUUCUGCAGUUACCUGCAGCUGAAACGUGGAGAGUGAACUAAGGAAGUAUGGCAGUGUGCUAAAAAAUAUCCAUAAAAAUCACAUAUAGGUAGUGGUUACCAGUGGCUGAAAUUGCAGGAGAGAAAGAUCUCACUUUUAAGUGACUCCUGAUGGAGCUACACGAUAUCAUGCGUAAAAAUGUAAAUUUCUUCUGCUGAAGAUAUUGCUAAGCAGAGAGAGAUACUCCAUGACAUCAUCAAAAAGCAAAAAUCGAAACCCCAAACGAGAGAAAUUCACGAGAUGAACGCUGAUGUUCCAAUUGACAGCAAGUACUAACUGGGCAUUUAAUAAGAUAAAUUGAUUAUUAGUCUCUGGGUAUGAUGGUCAUGUUACACUUCUAUAUCCAGUAAGGCUACUUCCCUUUCAGAGGUAUGUAUUAAAGUACUUACCGUUAG